CCCUACUCAGGCAGGCAAGCCCACCUAGUCAUCCUGAGUGACAGAGCCCACCGCAACAAAGUUGUUAAUGAAGAAGCAACUUGCUUGAGAAGGUUCCUACACUGACUGGCCAGGGCCGCAGUACGUGGAGCUGGGCGUGGAAUGCGAGUGCCUAGUGGGCCACUUUUGGUAAGCAGAACUGGAGCUGCGGGAUGAACUGAACGCCAGGUUAAGGCGCCCCAUGCUGACGCUCAUCAGACCCCAGAAAAGGUGUUGGUUGAUACAGACAGCAGGACGGUGGCCAUGGAACUCGGAAUCUGCUACGGAGUGUUUAACAACUUACCUGCUGAAUCAACUAGCUCUGAAAAUGGAUAGUGCUGGAGCGUCAGGCCCAUACCCGGCCGCCACCAGCAGUUUUAUCCGGUAAAG
rnacentral:ncRNA from 1 species